GUUUACCCCUGAAGGUUGAACCGGUCGAAGAUACCAGCUGGCUGCAACUGUUUAUUAAAAACACAGCACUCUGCAAACACGAAAGUGGACGUAUAGGGUGUGAUGCCUGCCCGGUGCUGGAAGGUUAAUUGAUGGUGUAAUCGAAAGAGAAGCUCCUGAUCGAAGCCCCAGUAAACGGCGGCCGUAACUAUAACGGUCCUAAGGUAGCGAAAUUCCUUGUCGGGUAAGUUCCGACCUGCACGAAUGGCAUAAUGAUGGCCAGGCUGUCUCCACCCGAGACUCAGUGAAAUUGAAAUCGCCGUGAAGAUGCGGUGUACCCGCGGCUAGACGGAAAGACCCCGUGAACCUUUACUAUAGCUUGACACUGAACAUUGAAUUUUGAUGUGUAGGAUAGGUGGGAGACUUUGAAGUAG
rnacentral:rRNA from 1 species